GACGAACGCUGGCGGCGUGCUUAACACAUGCAAGUCGAACGGAAAGGCCCUGCUUUUGUGGGGUGCUCGAGUGGCGAACGGGUGAGUAACACGUGAGUAACCUGCCCUUGACUUUGGGAUAACUUCAGGAAACUGGGGCUAAUACCGGAUAGGAGCUCCUGCUGCAUGGUGGGGGUUGGAAAGUUUCGGCGGUUGGGGAUGGACUCGCGGCUUAUCAGCUUGUUGGUGAGGUAGUGGCUUACCAAGGCUUUGACGGGUAGCCGGCCUGAGAGGGUGACCGGCCACAUGGGGACUGAGAUACGGACCAGACUCCAACGGGAGGCAGCAGUGGGGAAUAUUACACAAUGGGCGGAAGCCUGAUGCAGAGACGCCGCGUGCGGGAUGACGGCCUUCGGGUUGUAAACCGCUUUCGCCUGUGACGAAGCGUGAGUGACGGUAAUGGGUAAAGAAGCACCGGCUAACUACGUG
rnacentral:rRNA from 1 species